UCGGGAAUUUUGCGCAAUGGGCGAAAGCCUGACGCAGCAACGCCGCGUGAGGGAUGAAGGCCCUCGGGUCGUAAACCUCUGUCGGGAGGGAAGAACGGUUGCCCUUCGAACAGGUGGGCAGCCUGACGGUACCUCCAAAGGAAGCACCGGCUAACUCCGUGCCAGCAGCCGCGGUAAUACGGAGGGUGCGAGCGUUGUUCGGUAUCAUUGGGCGUAAAGCGCGUGUAGGCGGCUUGGCAAGUCGGGUGUGAAAUCACGGGGCCCAACCCCGGAAGUGCACUCGAAACUGCCUCGCUAGGAUCCCGGGGAGGAAGGCGGAAUUCCCGGUGUAGAGGUGAAAUUCGUAGAUAUCGGGAGGAACACCAGCGGCGAAGGCGGCCUUCGGGACGGUGACUGACGCUGAGACGCGAAAGCGUGGGGAGCAAACAGGAUUAGAUACCCCCGUAGUCC
rnacentral:rRNA from 1 species